GAAAUGCGAUAAGUAAUGUGAAUUGCAGAAUUCCGUGAAUCAUCGAAUCUUUGAACGCACAUUGCGCCCUCUGGUAUUCCGGGGGGCAUGCCUGUCCGAGCGUCAUUGCAACCCUCAAGCCCGGCUUGUGUGAUGGGCCGCUGCGUCCCCCUGUGGACGGGCCCGAAAGGCAGUGGCGGCGUCGCGGUUUAUCCGUUCGCCUGGUGUAUGGGGCUCUGUCACGCACCACGGCCUGGACCGGCGCCCGCCGACUCUUCUCAACUAUCUUAGGUUGACCUCGGAUCAGGUAGGGAUACCCGCUGAACUUAA
rnacentral:misc_RNA from 1 species